GGGGUGUGCUCAGGGCAGGGGCCUGACGAGCGGCUCCUCCCUUUUAAACACACGCAAAAGGAGUCUGAGGUCACAGGGACGAGGGGAACAAAUUUGUGGCCUCCCCAUGAGCAAAUGCCCCACACAU
ensembl:snoRNA